UGGGUUUAGGUUUUUAUUGAGUUUUCUUCCC
rnacentral:piRNA from 1 species